rnacentral:snoRNA from 1 species
GAGUAUCCAUGGUGUGGGCAUUGCAAUAAAAGUGAUUUGAAAUGAUCCCAUGCUUCAUGAAAGGAUUCUAUAUCCUUUUAAUAAAAGUUAGAAAUUUCAGCCCUUAACUC